UACAGAGGGUGCGCGCGUUAAUCGGAAUUACUGGGCGUAAAGCGUGCGUAGACGGUUUCGUAAGUCGGGUGUGAAAUCCCCGGGCUCAACCUGGGAAUUGCAUUCGAAACUGCGAGGCUAGGGUACGGAAGAGGGAAGCGGAAUUUCUGGUGUAGCGGUGAAAUGCGUAGAUAUCGUGAGGAAGACCAGUGGCGAAGGCGGGUCUCUGGACAGUUCCUGACACUGAGGCACGAAGGCCAGGGGAGCAAACGGG
rnacentral:rRNA from 1 species